ensembl:lncRNA
GGCGAACACAAAUCGGCGUGUUAUUGGGAACGGGUGUCUUGUUGAGCGUGGCGAUCACUGAUUGGGCAAUUUGGUGAAGAGGAGACACAUAAAUAGGGCAUCAGAAACACAGGAAGUGCCUGAUGAUUCCCAGUAGUUACUGUGGGUGCAACGGAGCGGAGGAGAGAGUUGGAGAGAGAGUGUAUGGUGUACUGCGGAGCUUGGGCAAAGAGAGAUACACAUACAGGGCUGAGUAUACGAAUAUCUUUAUUGGAGCAUUGUGUUCAGAUGCAUUGUGUGAUGUGAAGUUAACACACAUUGAAGAUCUGCUAGGAUUGCAGGAAGGAGAUCGUGCUGCCAGUUUUGUCGGUUAUCUGGAAGAGAAGUGGAGAGAUCCAGUGUUAAUGAAAGUGUGAGUACACUGAAAUAUUCAUCGAGUCAACAGUUAUUUUGCAAGUGUGGAAUAUCCAUAUAUCCCUUGUGAGUUGUGACCAGUGUGAGCGGCCCCACCGUAAUAGGAUUGGUGGGUGAGCCGGAACCAGCGAAAAAGGAGUCUGGUGCCUUGUCGUGGCUGUGACGUUCCCUCUGGCCGUCUGCUGCAUCGGUGCCCCCAACGUCCAGGAACUAAUCCCCGGUCCUAUGUGGUUUUGACCCUAAUUCACUGUGAGUGUGUGGAGUGCAGUGGGCGAGUCCUUUUCUUUGCUGUGUGUAUACUUGAAGUCUGCAGUGUCGUGCUGUGUCAUGUUGUCAGUAAUCACCCUCUAGGCUGGGAGAGAAAACCCUGUGGAGAAGAACGUGCACCGGUGUUGUGAGACGACCGUCUUUUAUAUACAUGCCCGCUCGCGGCUUUGGACCCCUACUCCGUCGAGUGGCGACGUGUCAACAAUAGCAAGUAAGGAACAGUUUGCAUAUUGUGGUGGACGACGACUGAGAGAAGUGUUGGCUGAACAUCCAGCUGUGUAGCCCUUGUGUAUGAAUACCUGUUUGUGGAGUACUUUCAGAGGUUCGCCCCUGUCUAGAUCUCUGGUCCGUUGUUUGGAAGAGAGGAGAGGGAAGCGUUCGAGUCAUUCCUGAGUCCUACAGGUCUGCGCUUGAGGCUCUGAGUCGUCGUGGGAGUGUUUCCACGGUUGGAGGUGACCGUGUUGAGUGUCGGUCUGGGAAGUCUGCCCCGGUGAAGAAGACCACAGUUGUCGUGACAUAUACACCUUCUCUAGACUCCCGAGCUGAAAAGGGCUAAAGCCUGACGUCCACCUCUUCGAGGGCGUUUCCAACCGUGGACCCAGAAUCUCGUGGCGAACGGCGUCAGGUACGCACCUCACCCAAUUCAUCAGAAUUACUUACCUUCUUUACUCUGCGUGCAGGGACUGGAAGGGCCCCACUGACGGUUCUCCUGCAGGAGAAACACAAAGGCACUACUGAGGAAAAACCCUGUUGAGUCACGUGAAGGAAAGGACACAAAUUACCUACAGGUUUAUCUGAGAGUCCCCGUGACAGAGUCAGAAGCGACUCGGACCUAUACUCUCUGGCCCCGAGAGUGGAUUUUAGAUUCCCUUUUCCCUUCCCUGCACACCUUUUAAAUAAUUUAAAUAAAGUCUGUUUUAAUUACACUCCCUCUCUCUCGCGUGUCUGGUCAUUGGGGUGUUCUUGGGACCUCCUCGAGGUGGAAACUAGGGAGGGGCGAGACUCACAACAUCUGUGGUCCGCUCCGAUCUGUGAC